GGCAAUGUGGUGUAAUGGUUAGGGUGCUGGGCCUGAAACACAAAGGUUGCAGGUUCAAUUCCCGGGUUUAACA